AUACAGUGGCGAAGCUAGAGCAAAUCAAAGAGGGGUGCAGUUAACUUGUGGGUGCAUAUACAUGAGUUUUAGGGGGUGCAUAUAUGGUAAAAUUUUGAUUAAAUCUACUGUUUUUGCAAUUUGGGGGGGUUGCAUUUGCACCCCCUACUUACAACACAGCUUCGCCCCUGUUCUCAUAUGUUAUUCAAUCACGGGACCUUUCCAUACUUUUUGCUGCCUUUGAUUCUGAACUUAUUACCUCCAUCUAAAAAAGUCCAAUUUCACGUAGUAGACCACUCUCUCUGCCUUCAAAUAUAAGGAAUCUAUGCGAUUUUUCUAGUCAAUUUAACGAUGGGCCACUUAUAGUCUUACAGUCACCCUACCAACCCCUUCUGUGUGUGUUCCUGUCAUCAUAAGGCCUUGUUUACUUUCAAAUUUUUUUGUAAAAUAGGAAUAGAAGCAGUUUCAUUUGUAUUUGAUAAAUAUUAUCUAAUUAUAGACUAACUACACUCAAAAGAUUCGUCUCGUCAAUUCCGACCAAACUGUGUAAUUAGUUUUUAUUUUCAUCUAUAUUUAAUACUCCAUGCAUAUGUCUAAAGAUUCGAUGUGACGGGGAAUCUGAAAAAAUUUUCAAAGUUUUUGGGGAACUAAACAAGGCCAUGGGCGACACCUGCCUAGGUGCAAUUUUUGGAAAAAGUCUACGUAACCCCCCA
rnacentral:lncRNA from 1 species